CUCAGAAGAACAUCUGGGUUUGAACAGUUUGGAACAACCAGAGGUGCCAGUAAGGGAGGCAGUGGCUGGCAAUGCCUCGAGGUUUCCUGACACCACUUCUCCGGGAUACAGGAAAAAGCCUUGCACAGUGCUGUGAAAAUAAUCAGAAAAGCUCCAUUAAACUGGAAAUGGGAAUCAAUUGUGCUGCUGUAUGAGAGGCCUUACUCACAUGUUUGGAAAGAACCCCAUCUGUGGAUGUGUACUUGACUUUGCAAGCAUCUUACUGAAACCCACAGGAGGACCCAGUCCCUGUAGAUGCAGAG